CCUGAAUGCAUCAAGUUCUCCUUCCAAGGAGGAAGUGUCAGAGGAGAGACGUGUUUGUUGGAGAUACGUAAAUGGUGUUGGGAUUGCGCUGCUGUUGAUAUGUUCAGGUCACUUCUUCAUGUGGGAAAAGAGAGAUGAGAGGCUGGGGGUCAAUCUGGGCUAAGCCCCGCUGGUGCCAGUGGACUCCCCGGUUUUUCCCCCCCUCUGCCGGGACCCCUCCGACAGAGAUGACAUCACAGCCUGUCAACCAGGACGACUUGAUGAUCGUUUCAGGCCGUCAGCUGUACCAGGGCAUGGUACAGAAAAUGGAUGGAUGGCUGGCGACCAGUGUACACGGCCUGUCGACCGAAGUCAGCGAGGAUAGGCUCCAGCACCCCCCCGCAGCCCUAAUGAGGAUAAACGGAAUAGACAAUAGAUGGAUGGAUGGACCUUUGCGAUCAACGUCAUGGUUAGACAUUUUACAGUGAUAAAAAUGUAAUUUUCCCUUCUCUGAUUUAACGUUUUUGGGGUGAUUUUAGGCCCUGUGUGUUAAUACACUAUGUCAAAAUGAAAAAUAACUGUCCAAAUAAAAGUACAUAAAACCGCUAAAUCUUACCCUGGGACAAUAACGAAAUUGCGCAUUUUGAUCCCCAAGCCUCAGACUGGUGAACCCUGCUUGAAAUGAUAAAAUAGGAGAUUAAAGGCUUACAUCUAACAAUGUUUUCCAUCUUGAUGCGAUUAUUCCAAGAACACUCUGAUCAUUUUCUAUCAUUUCCGUAUGACAUCAUCACAACAUCAACUUGAUGUCGUUUACUACACAUCCUCCGUCUAUGUCGCCCACAUGGGACCGCCCAUGUCAGCGUCAAAUGUAAAAUAUAAAUAUUUCCCCAUGGAAGCAUUUAAAAACAUAUUGUGGUUUAUCUUUUUGUUUGCCGUAGGAUUAAGUCACCGUUUCCUGGCAUGUUUGCACCACAUCCAGUCCAGUCCUUUGUUUCCCUCACUCUGUCUGCCAAAAAUACGUUUUUGUCAGCUUUCUUUCCGUGUUGAGUCUCACUCCUUACAAACAGCGAUUAGUUUGUUCAUUUUUAACAAAUUUUGGGAGGAUGUGGCUUUUUCCCUCUCCAGCUUUUAAAGGGUCUAGCCAAGUAGUCUCCCUCCCCUUCACCACCCUGAAUAUCUCUUUUCAUCACAAUCACCUUGGAAUAAGACCAAAGGUCUUUUUUACAUUUGACUGAUAAUCAUAUUUAAUGCAACCAAAACCAUCAAGUUCUAUAACCGCAAUAAAUAUGUAUUUUUUUUUUAUACUGACAAUGAAACAAAUCCACUUCCUUGCUUUCAUAAAAUGACAUAACGACGAAAAACCACAUCCACCACAUCAUGAUUGCUCAUAUGUCAACCUGGACUUGAUAUACCACGGUUUAUUUUCCUGUUGGGGAGUUGUAACAUCGUGUUAAGGAAUAGAAAUCUAAUCUAAAUCGCGUAAUCUAAAAUAUGUAAAAAAAAAAAAAAUUGUAAAUAGAAAAUUAAUUCAUUAAAAUUAACAAAUAAAUAAAAAUAUUAACUUUUUAAAUUAAUCAACAAAAAAACAUUAAGAUUUAUUAUUUUCAAUACAGGGACAUACGUAGAGGUAAUCAAUUAAAGAGCCUUUAAUUGUAUUUUUACAAUACAUUUAAUAAUAAUGUGAAAUCAAAUAUCAAAUCAAUAGAUAUGAA